rnacentral:misc_RNA from 1 species
CAACCAUCAAGCGCCUGCGCUUGUGUUGGAGCCCUGCGGCUGCCGCAGGCUCCCAAACCCAGUGGCGGGCUCGUCGUCGUACCGAGUGCAGUAAACAUACCACGCUCAGGGCACGCGACGGGUGACCGGCCGUAAAACCCCCCACUUUCUCAA